AGGUGGCAACAUAUUGUCGCCCGAUUAAGAUGAAGAGGUUACUGUUUGUCAUGGUGAUGUUGGCUGGGGUGUUAGCAAGUUCAUCGUCAACGGGAGCCAAAGAUACGACUACACCGGACCAAACAGAGUCUACACAAGGUUCUACCACGACAGUUCGGCUGCCAAUGGACCAGGCGGAGUCUACAACACUGUCUUGUUGACUGGCAUUUCAACAUGACAACGCUACAUCCAUAUUGUACUUAGCAACUUCUCUAACGCCUGUGAUGUGGUCAUGACCGUGAUGUGGUCAUGACCGUGAUGAUGU